rnacentral:rRNA from 1 species
UACGAAGGGGGCUAGCGUUGCUCGGAAUCACUGGGCGUAAAGCGCACGUAGGCGGAUCUUUAAGUCAGGGGUGAAAUCCUGGAGCUCAACUCCAGAACUGCCUUUGAUACUGGGGAUCUCGAGUCCGGGAGAGGUGAGUGGAACUCCGAGUGUAGAGGUGAAAUUCGUAGAUAUUCGGAAGAACACCAGUGGCGAAGGCGGCAUCCUGGACCAACAUUGACGCUGAGGAGCGAAAGCCAGGGGAGCAAACGGG